GAUGAAGAACGUAGCGAAAUGUGAUACUUGGUGUGAAUUGCAGAAUCCCGUGAACCAUCGAGUCUUUGAACGCAAGUUGCGCCCGAAGCCAUUUGGUUGAGGGCACGUCUGCCUGGGCGUCACAUAUCGUUGCCCGAUGCCUAUUGCACUGUGAUAGGAAAUUCUAGGGCGAAAGAUGGCUUCCCGUGAGCGUUGUUGCCUCGCGGUUGGUUGAAAAUUGAGUCCUUGGUAGGGUGUGCCAUGAUAGAUGGUGGUCGAGUUUGCACGAGACCGAUCAUGUGUGCGCUCCCCAAAAUAUGGACUCUUUGACCCCACACGCGUCUUUUGACGCUCAUGACGAGACCUCAGGUCAGGCGGGGCUACCCGCUGAGUUUAAGCAUAUCAAUAAGCGGAGGA
rnacentral:misc_RNA from 1 species